rnacentral:rRNA from 1 species
UAGGAAUUGGCGGGGGAGCACCACCAGGCGUGAAGCCUGCGGUUUAAUUGGAGUCAACGCCGGGAACCUUACCGGAAGCGACAGCAGAGUGAAGGCCAGAAUGAAGAUCUUGCCAGACGAGCUGAGAGGAGGUGCAUGGCCGUCGCCAGUUCGUGCCGUGAGGUGUCCUCUUAAGUGAGGUAACGAACGAGACCCGCGCCCCAUGUUGCCAGCAAAUCCUAAAGGGAUGUUGGGCACUCUUGGGGGACCGCAGCCGACAAGGCUGAGGAAGGUGCGGGCAACGGCAGGUCAGUAUGCCCCGAAUCUCCCGGGCCACACGCGGGCUGCAAUGGUAGGGACAGAGGGCUGCCACCCCGAGAGGGGGAGCCUAUCCCUAAACCCUACCUCAGUUGGGAUCGAGGGCUGCAACCCGCCCUCGUGAACAUGGAAUGCCUAGUAACCGCCGGUCAUCAUCCGGCGGUGAAUACGUCCCUGCUCCUUGCACACACUGCCCGUCGAACCACCCGAAUGUAUU